CUGGGCAAUAUGUUACACAAAGCAAGGGGCAAGCGGGGGGAAAAUAAAAAUCAGAAUACCCCAAUGGAGAACCUGUCUCUGUGGUUCAUACAUUUCACUGCUGCUCCAUUUCACAAAUAGAUUUGAACCCAGUUAACCUGGUAAAAAGCUUUCCUGAACCAUGUUAUUCAAUUUCCCCACUUGAUUUCCUUGUAUUUGCUGUUUUUAGCACAUUUCCUAUAAGACCCCCAGGUUUAUUCACACAGGAGCUCCCCCCCUGCUGCCACCACCACUCACCUCUCAGUGUAUUUGCUGAAAGUGUUAUUGGCCAAGUUCUCCACAUUGUAGUUUGAAUAAACAAAUAAAUGUGUAUUGACCAUUCAUUUAGUGCUGGGUGACUAACUCCUGGCCCGUGGACCUCUGAGUGUCUCCUGAUUUGGCAGAUAUGGCACUUCAGGGUAGUUUUCCAUUUAAACAGACAGACAAACACACACACACACACACACACACAAAACCCCUUCCCAUUUUUGCCUUUGUGGUGUUCCCUGAGCCGUCUCAAAUGUCCUGUGUUAAAGUAUAGGCAAUUUGCAUGUCCUUAAUCCUGUAAUUCCACCCCCUCCUACAAAUGGUUCCUGCUCAAUUAUUUGCAUAUCUAUAAUAUUAAACAAUAAAAUCCAAACUCAUUUAUUAAUGAACAGUAUAAAGCAACAUAUCAAGAGAAUC